CACGUAGGGGGCGAGCGUUGUCCGGAUUUAUUGGGCGUAAAGAGCUCGUAGGCGGUUCGCUAAGUCGGGUGUGAAACCUCCAGGCUCAACCUGGAGACGCCACCUGAUACUGGUGUGACUAGAGUCCGGUAGGGGAGUGUGGAACUCCUGGUGUAGCGGUGAAAUGCGCAGAUAUCAGGAAGAACACCAGCGGCGAAGGCGGCACUCUGGGCCGGUACUGACGCUGAGGAGCGAAAGCGUGGGGAGCGAACAGG
rnacentral:rRNA from 1 species